rnacentral:rRNA from 1 species
UGGGGAAUAUUGCACAAUGGGCGCAAGCCUGAUGCAGCCAUGCCGCGUGUAUGAAGAAGGCCUUCGGGUUGUAAAGUACUUUCAGUCGGGAGGAAGGUGUCAAGGUUAAUAACCUUGGCAAUUGACGUUACCGACAGAAGAAGCACCGGCUAACUCCGUGCCAGCAGCCGCGGUAAUACGGAGGGUGCAAGCGUUAAUCGGAAUUACUGGGCGUAAAGCGCACGCAGGCGGUUGAUUGAGUCAGAUGUGAAAUCCCCGGGCUUAACCCGGGAAUUGCAUCUGAUACUGGUCAGCUAGAGUCUUGUAGAGGGGGGUAGAAUUCCAUGUGUAGCGGUGAAAUGCGUAGAGAUGUGGAGGAAUACCGGUGGCGAAGGCGGCCCCCUGGACAAAGACUGACUCUCAGGUGCGAAAGCGUGGGGAGCAAACAGG